AGUUGAGUAAACUUAUGUUUAAGGAGGCUUUCUCACUUGCCUAUGGCAAAACUAUCCGUAAAUGACAGAAUUGCAAGACUGUACCACUGGAACACCGGGUUCGGCAAGUACAAGUGAGAAAGCCAUCAGAAGGAAGGAGAUGAAGUUGCUGGCCCAGCCUCUGAAAACUCUCAGUCUAUGUACCUCAAUUUAAAAAUGUGGUUCCAAAGACAACAGAAUUGCAACAGGGGGAAGACAGAACCAGACAGUCACAGAGGAAAAGAGAAGGAGGACAC